UACGAAGGGGGCUAGCGUUGCUCGGAAUCACUGGCGUAAAGCGCACGUAGGCGGAUCUUUAAGUCAGGGGUGAAAGUCCUGGAGCUCAACUCCAGAACUGCCUUUGAUACUGGGUGUCUUGAGUAUGGAAGAGGUGGAGUGAAUUCCGAGUGUAGAGGUGAAAUUCGUAGAUAUUCGGAGGAACACCAGUGGCGAAGGCGGCUCACUGGUCCAUUACUGACGCUGAGGUGCGAAAGCGUGGGGAGCAACAGG
rnacentral:rRNA from 1 species